AAUCUCAACAACGGAUAUCUCGGCUCUCGCAUCGAUGAAGAACGUAGCAAAAUGCGAUACUUGGUGUGAAUUGUAGAAUCCUGUGAACCAUCGAGUCUUUGAACGCAAGUUGCACCCCAAGCCAUUAGGCCGAGGGCACGCUUGCCUGGGUGUCAUGCACCGUCGCCCCCCUUCUGACCCCUCGGGCUUCAGGGGAAGGGGGUGGGUGAAAGAUGGCCUCCCACAUCCGUAUCCUGUGGGUCACGGUUGGCCCAAAAGUGAGUCCCCGAUAAUGACAGUGCCAUGAUCAUCAGUGGUAGAGCUCCCGGUGUGCCUCGUCCCCGGUGACGCAUGCUCGUUGUCCACCCGGACCCCUUCAGACCCCCCGCAUCACUCGAUCGAUGCUCGCAUCGUGACCCCAGGUUAGGCGGGAUCACUCACUGAGUUUAGGCAUAUCAAUAAGCGGAGGAAAAAAAGCUUACCAGGAUUCCCCUAGUAACGGUGAACAAACCGAAAAGAGCCCAGCUUGAGAAUUGGGUGCCCCCGACGUUCGAAUUGUAGUAUGGAGAAGCAUCCUCAAUGGCAGAUUGGGCCCAAAUCCCUUGGAAAGGGGCGUCAGAAAGGGUGAGAGCCCUAUUGUGCCCAGACCCUAUCGCACCACGAGGUGCUGUCCACGAGUCCGGUUGUUUUGGGAAUACAGCCCCAAUCGGGUGGUAAAUUCCAUCCAAGGCUGAAUACGGCAAGAGAUCGAUAGUGAACAAGUAUCACGAGGGAAAGAUGAAAAAGACUUUGAAAAGAGAGUCAAAAAGUGCUUGAAAUUGUCAGAAGGGAAGCGGAUGGGGGCCGACGAUGCGCCCAAUCAGAUGUGGAAUGGUGAGAGCCGGUCCCUCGAUCGGCUCAGGGUGUGAACCGACGCUAGUCGCGAUGGUGGCCCAAGCCCGGGCUUUCGAUGUGCCCACAGAGACGUUGUCACCGUGAUCAUGGAACACAACACGCACCGUCUCGACGUGCCUCGACACCAGCAUUUUCCAAGGCAUUGGCCUGCAGGCUCCCCAUCUGGCCCAUCUUAAAACACGGACUAAGGAGUCUGACAUGCGUACAAGUCAAUGGGCCCGAAAACCCAUAAGCGCAAGGAAGCUGAAUGGCGAGAUCCCUCACGGGUGUACCGUUGGUCGACCUUGAUCUUCUGAGAAGGGUUUGAGUGCGAGCAUGCUCGUCGAGACCCGAAAGAUGGUGAACUAUGCUUGAGUGAGGCGAAGCCAGAGGAAACUCUGGUGGAGGCCCAUAGUGAUACUGACGUGCAAAUCGUUCAUUUGACUUGGGUAUAGGGGCGAAAGACUAAUUGCACCAUCUAGUAGCUGGUUCCCUCCGAAGUUUCCUUCAAGAUAGCUGGAGCCCCCGUCGAGUUCUAUCGGGUCAAGCCAAUGAUUAGAGGAAUCGGGGGCGCAACGCCCUCGACCUAUUCUCAAACUUUAAAUAGGUAGGACGGUGCGACUACUUCAUUGAGCCGUGCCACGAAAUCGAGAGCUCCAAGUGGGCCAUUUUUGGUAUGCAAAACUAGUGAUGUGGGAUGAACUAGAAGCCAGGUUAUGGUGCCCAACUACGCGCUAACCCAGAACCCGCAAAGGGUGUUGGUCGAUUAAGACAGUAGGACGGUGGUCAUGGAAGUCAAAAUUCGUUAAGGAGUGUGUAACAACUCACCUGCCGAAUCAACUAGACCCAAAAAUAGAUGGCCCUUAAGCACAUGACCUAUACCCAGUCAUCGAGGCGAGGGCCAGGCCCCAAUGAGUAGGAGGGCACGGCGGUCACCGUAAAACCUGAGGCAUGAGCCCGAGCGAAACGACCGUCGGUGCAGAUCUUGGUGUUAGUAGCAAAUAUUUAAAUGAGAACAUUGAAGGUCGAAGAGGGGAAAGGUUCCAUGUGAACGGCACUUGCACAUAGGUUAGUCGAUGCUAAGAGAUGGGGGAAGCCCGUCUGACAAUGCGUCCCGUGUAGCUUCAAAAGGGAAUCGGGUUAAAAUUCUUGAACCGGGACAUGACGACUGAUGGCAACAUUAGGGAGUCCGAAGACGUCGGUGAGGGCCUCGAAAAGAGUUAUCUUUUCUAUUUAACGGCCCGUCCACCCUAGAAACGACUUAGUCGGAGGUAGGGUCCAGCGAUCGAAAGAGUACCACAUGUCACGUGGUGUUCGAUACACCCCCGACGGCCCUUGAAAAUCUAGAGGAAUGAGUGCCGUCCAUGCCCGAUCGUACUCAUAAUCACAUCAGGUCUCCAAGGUAAACAGCCUCUGGUCGAUGGAACAAUGUAGGUAAGGGAAGUUGGUAAAAUGGAUCCGUAACCUCGAGAAAAGGAUUGGCUCUGAGGGCUAGGCAGGGGGGUCCUAGUCCUGAACCCGUUGGCUACCGGUGCACUGUUCGAGCUGUUCCAGCGGUGAGAAUAGGUCAUCGCAUGCCGAUCGGGGCACGGACUGGGAAUGGCUCCCUCGAGGGCCUUCCUUGGGUGACAAACAGUCGACUUAGAACUGGUACAGACAAGGGGAAUCUAACUGUUUAAUUAAAAUGAAGCAUUGCGAUGGUCCCUGCGAAUGCUCACAUAAUGUGAUUUUUGCCCAGUGCUCUGAAUGUGCUACCGGCCCCAUUGCCACAACCCUCGAUCCAGCUGGGGCUUAGACAUGGAAUGAACUCCCUAUGCCUAAGCCAACCCAUGAAAUGGGCGUACGGGCGCUCAGCCGACCGGAGAGGCAGAAUGCACAAGCCAAGGAUCGAUCCGAUCCCCCCUACGUACUGUCGAUCUUGCUGUCGUAACCCUCUAUCCGGUCUGAUCUUAGACUAGAAUGAACUUCGUAUGCUUAGACUGGGGAUGAACUCUGUAGGCCUAAGUCAACCCACAAAACGAGCGUGCAGGCACUCAGCCGGCCAGAGAGGCAGGAUGCACAAGCCGGGGAUCGAAUGGAUGGUAGGUAGGUUCAAGCACAUCUUCAUAUUUCUGCCAUGCCAAUGCCAUUUUUAUGGCUUGUAAAUUCAUACAAUGGUCCCCUAAGCCUUCAUGUGAAGUUUCGUGGCAAGAUGACCCGUUUUCUAUUUUUCACGAUUUUUGAAACUUUUUACGGUUCGAGAUUUUUUAAAAUUUUUUUAGAAAGAGUUUUGUCCCCAAAUUUGGUAGAGGUGAUCCUUGUAUUUUUUUUUAGAAUGCACAAAAAAAUUCAGCUAAAAACUCGAAGUGGAGAAGAUUUUGUGACCAUUUGAAAAAAGUGUCCCCAUUUCAGACACUUUAAUGGCUACUGGCAGCAAACCUAUAAAAUCUCAAAUGCUCUUUAAGGGGGUGUGAGUUCUCGAGGUUUGAUGAGGGAUAGGGGGCCAAUAUAAGGGUCAAGUACCAGCACCCAUCACACAUCAUGUGCACACACCCCCCGGCCCCCUAAUCGCCGGAACCCCAAUGCCGUCCGUUAGGCUCUCCGGAGAUGGUGCCCCGAGUGAAAAAAAUGUGACACCAGCACAUGCCCGAGCCCAGCUUGACGAAUCGUGCCAAGGAACUGAAACAAAAAUGGAGUGCGCGUGCCAUCGCCAUCCCGUCCGUAGUGCGUGCACGGCCAACCCUGCGACUCUUUUUGU
rnacentral:rRNA from 1 species